rnacentral:rRNA from 1 species
CCUACGGGUGGCAGCAGUGGGGGAUAUUGCACAAUGGGGGGAACCCUGAUGCAGCGACGCCGCGUGGGUGAAGAAGCGCCUCGGCGCGUAAAGCCCUGUCAGCAGGGAAGAAGAUGAUGGUACCUGAAGAAGAAGCCCCGGCUAACUACGUGCCAGCAGCCGCGGUAAUACGUAGGGGGCAAGCGUUAGCCGGAUUUACUGGGUGGAAAGGGGGCGCAGACGGCGAUGCAAGCCAGGAGUGAAAGCCGGGGGCCCAACCCCGGGACUGCGCUUGGAACUGCGUGGCUGGAGUGCAGGAGGGGCAGGCGGAAUUCCGGGUGUAGCGGUGAAAUGCGUAGAUAUCAGGAGGAACACCGGUGGCGAAGGCGGCCUGCUGGACUGCAACUGACGUUGAGGCCCGAAAGCGUGGGGAGCAAACAGGAUUAGAUACCCUGGUAGUC